rnacentral:rRNA from 1 species
GGAUCCAGACUUUGAUCUGGCUCAGAACGAACGCUGGCGGCGCGUUUUAAGCAUGCGAGUCGAGGGGUAGGAUGCCUUCGGGUAUCUGAGACCGGCGAACGGGUGAGUAACACGUAGGUGAUCUACCUUUUAGUUGGGGAUAGCUCAUGGAAACAUGGGGUAAUACCGAAUAAGCUCUAUUUACUAUGGUGAGUAGAGGAAAGGGGCUUUGGCCUCGCUGAAAGAUGAGCCUGCGGCUGAUUAGGUAGUUGGUGGGGUAAAGGCCUACCAAGCCGACGAUCAGUAGCCGGCCUGAGAGGGCGAUCGGCCACAUUGGGACUGAGAUACGGCCCAGACUCCUACGGGAGGCAGCAGCUAAGAAUCUUCCGCAAUGGACGAAAGUCUGACGGAGCGACGCCGCGUGGGUGAAGAAGGCCGUGAGGUUGUAAAGCCCUUUUCUACUUGAGGAAUAAGUAUCGGAGGGAAUGCCGGUAUGAUGACGGUAGGGUAGGAAUAAGCCCCGGCUAAUUACGUGCCAGCAGCCGCGG